AGUAACGUAAGUUAACUUAAACUGUUGGGCCCAUACCCCAAACAUGAGGGUGAAACCCCCUCCAUUACUA
rnacentral:tRNA from 1 species